rnacentral:rRNA from 1 species
GACGAACGCUGGCGGCGUGCUUAACACAUGCAAGUCGAGCGGUAAGGCCCUUUCGGGGGUACACGAGCGGCGAACGGGUGAGUAACACGUGGGUGACCUGCCCUUAGCUCUGGGAUAAGCCUGGGAAACUGGGUCUAAUACCGGAUAUGACUCCAUGACGCAUGUUGUGGGGUGGAAAGCCUUGUGCGGCUAGGGAUGGGCCCGCGGCCUAUCAGCUUGUUGGUGGGGUGAUGGCCUACCAAGGCGACGACGGGUAGCCGGCCUGAGAGGGCGACCGGCCACACUGGGACUGAGACACGGCCCAGACUCCUACGGGAGGCAGCAGUGGGGAAUCUUGCGCAAUGGGCGAAAGCCUGGCGCAGCGACGCCGCGUGAGGGAUGACGGCCU